GUGCCAGCAGCCGCGGUAAUACGUAGGUGGCGAGCGUUAUCCGGAAUGAUUGGGCGUAAAGGGUGCGUAGGCGGUCUGAUGCGUCCAUUGUGAAAGUGCAGUGCUCAACACUGUGAUGCAAUGGAUACGGGCAGACUAGAGAGCAGCAGAGGGCGACGGAACUCCAUGUGUAGCGGUAAAAUGCGCAGAGAUAUGGAAGAACACCGGUGGCGAAGGCGGUCGUCUGGGCUGAAUCUGACGCUGAGGCACGAAAGCGUGGGGAGCAAACAGGAUUAGAUACCCUGGUAGUCCACGCCCUAAACUAUGAGGAGCAGGUGUUGGCCAGAGAUGGUCAGUGCCCAAGCUAACGCAAUGACUCCUCCGCCUGGGGAGUAUGCACGCAAGUGUGAA
rnacentral:rRNA from 1 species